rnacentral:rRNA from 1 species
GAAUUGACGGGGCCCGCGACAAGCGGUGGAGCAUGUGGUUUAAUUCGUAAGCAACGCGAAGAACCUUACCAGGUCUUGACAUCCCGAUGCUAUUUCUAGAGAUAGAAAGUUACUUCGGUACAUCGGUGACAGGUGGUGGCAUGGUUGUCGUCAGCUCGUGUCGUGAGAUGUUGGGUUAAGUCCCGGCAACCGAGCCGCAACCCCUAUUGUUAGUUGCCAUCAUUCAGUUGGGCACUCUAGCGAGACUGCCGGUAAUAAACCGGAGGAAGGUGGGGAUGACGUCAAAUCAUCAUGCCCCUUAUGACCUGGGCUACACACGUGCUACAAUGGUUGGUACAACGAGUUGCGAGUCGGUGACGGCGAGCUAAUCUCUUAAAGCCGAUCUCAGUUCGGAUUGUAGGCUGCAACUCGCCUACAUGAAGUCGGAAUCGCUAGUAAUCGCGGAUCAGCACGCCGCGGUGAAUACGUUCCCGGGCCUU